AAUUUGGCCCAGGGGAUUGAAUGAAGAAGAAGGCCUUCCACUGGCGGUGUCGACGCAUGGCUUCCCCCCUUCGAAUCAUGACAGGAUUCGAUUCGAUUCAUUUUUAGUCCAGGAAUGUGAGAGACGAAGGGCUCGAACGCCGCAAGUCGUUUCCGUUUUCGACUGUUGGCUUGCCUUGUAGGUAGGGCAGGGGCUUUUAGUUGCGGGAGGGAAGCCGAGUGGAACGUAUAGUUGAAGCAAGCAUAAAGGUUGUUGGCCGGUUCUGCAAUUUUCCGGAUUAACGUUACCAGUAAUAUCCAUUUCGAGACGCCGCUCUGGACGCAGCUUCUUUCACUGUUAUCUAUUGAGGAGCAAAGCAGCCUUGGAUUCACCAAUAUUCCUUGAAAGAAUGUCAUCGACUCUGGGGAGAGCAUGAGGCAUGUCCUCUAACAUGGUGUGAAUUAGAGUGCUGAAACUUAUGAUGCCAUACGCGGUCAAUCACUGCAAACCUUUGUAGCUCCAGACUUCUACAAAGAAUUCUUGUAAGUUAGACAGAAUGCUCGAUCGCCUGCAGGUACUGUGCUUCGAUUUGUUUCUCUGUGCUCUGUUUCAAGAUCUGCCUUGCAAGACACGUUGUAAUACAUACUGCAGCUUACGGAGCGUACCAGUUCAUAUUGCAUUGUACAUAUUCGAUUCCUGAAUUGCCAUUACUUUAGGAAUCGAAUAUGUACAAUGCAAUAAGCCAAAGAUAUUAGAAGUUGUAUCUUUAUUAACAGAUCACAUCACUUCCUGGGGUUUUUAUAGGUGCUCCAGAAAGUGAACCAUUCAAUAUGGAAACAUUUCAUUUACAACUGUUCAGUACUUUACCAAUUUUUCUAACCUCCUGUUGCAAGCACAGGCAUUCUGUUGGCUCCGGAGCAUGAAAGAGUAUUAUUUGUGUUGUAACCACAUCUCUCUUACUUUGUGCCUGUAGUUGCCAUCAGACUCUUUAAAGUUCGAAAAUUGAUUUUUAGAAAGAGAUUCAAAUGCAAUUAUAAAUUAAGAAGGACACUAGGUUUUUUUCUUUUUUCUUUUUUAAAGUUUUUUUUGACACCCAUAUCUUGACUAUUGCUUCUGUACAUUCAACUUAUUAAAUUCAACCGUCUACUUGUUCAUCAAA